rnacentral:misc_RNA from 1 species
AACGCACGAGACCUGCGGACCUGCGGAAGGAUCAUUAGCGAAGCAAGCGCCCCCGUGCGGUUGUGCUGGCGCUCCCCUGCGCAUGUGCACGCCGCCCGCCCUCUCACACCUGUGCACAUGUACUUGCCAGGACUUUGGCUCGAGAGGGUGGCCCGGCUGGGCCCCCCCCUCCUCUUGCCGAUCCCCUGGCACUUUCACAUCAGCCCUGUAUGUAUGACGAAAGCCGCUGCGCUUGCGCAA